UAGCAUAUGACAUUCACAUGGAAGCCGUUUACCUGCUGACCAGCGCCAUGGACAAGCUGCCAGACCGCGUGCCGUCACUGAUAGCAAAGUGCGGCCCUGACACACUGACAGGCCUCAACCAGCUGGUGAGCAGCCUGAAGGAGCACGGUCAGGCUCAUCUCUCUGAGUCUCUGCCUGCUCCUCUGCAGGAAGGAGGGGA